UAGCAGCACAUAAUGGUUUGUGGGUUACACAGAGGUGCAGGCCAUACUGUGCUGCCGCC
rnacentral:pre_miRNA from 2 species